CUGACAGAAAAGUUACCCCGUUCCUGCACAACAACGCGUCGCGGUCUGUCGGUGCGCAGAACGGCCGUCAAAUACCAGGCAGCGCUUGUCACGGCCGCGACCCGGCUGCCGUCAUUGCAUAAAGCCAAGCCGACGGCGCGGCGCGAGCAGAGUUCAGCCAUGUUUCGCGACACGACCGCGGCCCUGGCAGCAUGGGUGGUGGUGCUUUUGAUGGUGACGGCGAACGUCGCCUCGGGUGCGUCCACAACUGACGUCAUCUGCCACUACGACGACAUCGGUCCUACGGUGCGGUGCCGCCCUGUGCCUGACGCCUGCCGCAGUCAUGCGGAGUGCGGCCCCGGCUACGGCUGCUGCUAUUACGUGUGCAACAAGUCAUGCCGUCCCACCUGUUCGGCCCAGUGCGAAGCGGGCACACGCUGCACACUGGACGCGGGCGGCACCACGGCCUCCUGUCAACCGUUCGUUCCUAUCUAUCGCUGAAUCGUAUGGCGUUAAAGCUGAACUUAAACGGUGAAUGUCACGGCUGCUGUCAUUAUGCGAUCGCGAUGAGGAUCUGAUCAGAGGUUAAACGGAACAUAUUGCUGACCUGCCUCCGCGUCCACCAGUGAGAGGCUGCGAGUACAUGCAACGCGGGUGUAGAAUGUAGCUGCACAACAAGAGUGAAUAAUAUGGGCUUCAUUGGACUUUCACAGUGGGUUAAUGCACUGAAAUUUUCUAAGAUUUCUAAUGACUGUGUGAGUUUCUAAUAUAUACCUUGUUCUCCGACAAGGAAAGGGUU
rnacentral:lncRNA from 1 species